rnacentral:rRNA from 1 species
AUUGAACGCUGGCGGCAGGCCUAACACAUGCAAGUCGAACGGUAACAGGAAGCAGCUUGCUGCUUUGCUGACGAGUGGCGGACGGGUGAGUAAUGUCUGGGAAACUGCCUGAUGGAGGGGGAUAACUACUGGAAACGGUAGCUAAUACCGCAUAACGUCGCAAGACCAAAGGGGGGGACCUUAGGGCCUCUUGCCAUCGGAUGUGCCCAGAUGGGAUUAGCUAGUAGGUGGGGUAACGGCUCACCUAGGCGACGAUCCCUAGCUGGUCUGAGAGGAUGACCAGCCACACUGGAACUGAGACACGGUCCAGACUCCUACGGGAGGCAGCAGUGGGGAAUAUUGCACAAUGGGCGCAAGCCUGAUGCAGCCAUGCCGCGUGUAUGAAGAAGGCCUUCGGGUUGUAAAGUACCUUCAGCGGGGAGGAAGGGAGUAAAGUUAAUACCUUUGCUCAUUGACGUUACCCGCAGAAGAAGCACCGGCUAACUCCGUG